AUUGAACGCUGGCGGCAGGCCUAACACAUGCAAGUCGAGCGGAUGACGGGAGCUUGCUCCUUGAUUCAGCGGCGGACGGGUGAGUAAUGCCUAGGAAUCUGCCUGGUAGUGGGGGACAACGUUUCGAAAGGAACGCUAAUACCGCAUACGUCCUACGGGAGAAAGCAGGGGACCUUCGGGCCUUGCGCUAUCAGAUGAGCCUAGGUCGGAUUAGCUAGUUGGUGAGGUAAUGGCUCACCAAGGCGGCGAUCCGUAACUGGUCUGAGAGGAUGAUCAGUCACGCUGGAACUGAGACACGGUCCAGACUCCUACGGGAGGCAGCAGUGGGGAAUAUUGGACAAUGGGGGAAAGCCUGAUCCAGCCAUGCCGCGUGUGUGAAGAAGGUCUUCGGAUUGUAAGGCACUUUAAGUUGGGAGGAAGGGUUGUAGAUUAAUACUCUGCAAUUUUGACGUUACCGACAGAAUAAGCACCGGCUAACUCUGUGCCAGCCGCCGCAGUAACAC
rnacentral:rRNA from 1 species